AUGGCGUACAUGAUGCGGCGCCGCAUCACCAUGCCGGCCGCGCUCAUGGACGACGGCCGCGACGCCGACCUCUUCGCGCACUACGCCGCCGCCGCGCAGCAGGCCGGGGUGUACACCGCGUCGGACUACCGCGGCAUCCUGGAGCACCUCAUACGCCAGUGGCGGGUGGAGGAGCUGUCGGCGGGGCUGUCCGGCGAGGGGAGGCGCGCGCGGGACUACGUCUGCGCGUUGCGGGAGAAGAUCCGGAGGAUGGAGGAGAGGGCCCAUGACAGGGUGCGAAAGGAGCCCACCCCGGUCCCGUUUAGCUGGAUCUUUGAUAGGCCUGUCAGCGUCGUGCUCCAUUGA
rnacentral:rRNA from 1 species